UCCAGCAGCUAGCUCUCUGCGACACAUGGUCGCCCACUGAAGCUAAGCAGGGCUGCGCCCGGUCAGUACCUGGAUGGGAGACCACAUGGGAACACUAGGUUGCUGCUGGAA
rnacentral:rRNA from 1 species